UCGUCGCCCUCCCUUCUUCUGAGGUUUUCUUCGAAGAACGCUUCGAAGAUGGAUGGGAAAGUCGGUGGGUAAAAUCUGACUAGAAGAAAGAUGAGAACAUGGCUGGGGAAUGGAAUCACACUUUUGGAAAAUGGAAUGG